GCGGAGGAAAGAAACCAACAGGGAUUGCCUCAGUAACGGCGAGUGAAGCGGCAAGAGCUCAAAUUUGAAAGCUGGCCCCCUCGGGGUCCGCAUUGUAAUUUGCAGAGGAUGCUUCGGGAGUGGCCCCCAUCUAAGUGCUCUGGAACGGGCCGUCAUAGAGGGUGAGAAUCCCGUAUGGGAUGGGGUGUCCGCGACCAUGUGAAGCUCCUUCGACGAGUCGAGUUGUUUGGGAAUGCAGCUCUAAAUGGGUGGUAAAUUUCAUCUAAAGCUAAAUAUUGGCCGGAGACCGAUAGCGCACAAGUAGAGUGAUCGAAAGAUGAAAAGCACUUUGAAAAGAGAGUUAAAAAGCACGUGAAAUUGUUGAAAGGGAAGCGCUUGCGACCAGACUCGCCUACGGGGUUCAGCCGGUAUUCGUACCGGUGUACUUCCCCGUGGGCGGGCCAGCGUCGGUUUGGGCGGCCGGUCAAAGGCCCUCGGAAUGUAACGCCUCUCGGGGCGUCUUAUAGCCGAGGGUGCCAUGCGGCCAGCCCGGACCGAGGAACGCGCUUCGGCACGGACGCUGGCAUAAUGGUCGUAAGCGACCCGUCUUGAAACACGGACCAAGGAGUCUAACAUCUACGCGAGUGUUCGGGUGUCAAACCCGUGCGCGCAGUGAAAGCGAACGGAGGUGGGAACCCUCACGGGUGCACCAUCGACCGAUCCUGAUGUCUUCGGAUGGAUUUGAGUAAGAGCGUAGCUGUUGGGACCCGAAAGAUGGUGAACUAUGCCUGAAUAGGGCGAAGCCAGAGGAAACUCUGGUGGAGGCUCGCAGCGGUUCUGACGUGCAAAUCGAUCGUCAAAUUUGGGUAUAGGGGCGAAAGACUAAUCGAACCAUCUAGUAGC
rnacentral:rRNA from 1 species